AGAACCAAUAAACAAUUCCAUUGCAGCAUUACAGGAACCAUCUGUAGUAGCUAAAGAAGGAUCCUUGGAAGUGACUGAAGAAAUAUAGCAGAAAAGGAUAAAUUGGAUCGCAUUAAUCUAGAAGAAAGGAAACAUACAAACAAACACAUUUUUCACAUUAAAAAUGACUAAACCUA